CUCAGUCUAUUACGUCAUGCUCAGGCACUACAGUCAGCUGAAGCAGACAAACUGAAAAAGAUCUACCAAGGCCCACUGAGGUGUUCAGAAAGCUGAGCUGUUAGUGCAAUAUGCAUAAUGGACACUAGAGGGAACUAAAGAGUUGUCUAGGGAGAUCGAAAAAAUGUCAGCUGAGUUGAAGCGAAAUAAAAUUUUUCUUUGCGAAGACAGACAUUGAAAUACAGACCAAUUGAAAAAAAAAUUAGGAAGGCACUUAAAAGCGAGACAAAGACCAGAGCAAGCACUGCUCCUGCAUUUGUGGUGCAGUGGUAGAAGCCUAGAGCCUCACACAGGACACACAGUCCAGAAGGCACUUUUCAGUGCUGAUUCGCUGAUGCUCACCUUGGACUUCUGGAUUGAGGGCCAUGUAAAGCAGACCCCAGCGCAACGUUGUCGAAGUUGUCUCAGUUCCCGCAAAGAAGAGGUCCAGAGUGGAACAGAUGAGAUUUUCUUCAUUGAAACUUGAACUGGUGUCACUCUUAUGCUAGAAAGCACAAUGUUUACUGAUGUAUUCUAUGAGUUCAUUUACCUCAAGACAGAGAUUUCAGUCAAGAAUAUGAAAGGAAGUAUUCCGAGGACUAAUAGUGUCCCCUUCAGCCUAUAAUUUAGGAGAAGCUGCUACUGUUGUGGAAAGACAGACUUGAGUCCCAACAUUGGUCAUAUCACAUACUACCUGUGUGGGCUAGGCUAAGUUGUAUCGUCUCUCUGUUCUUCUCAUGUUUUAUAAAAUAAAAGUAACAAUACACACACCUUAAUAAGAAUUUGUGAAUCAUG